UACGGGGGGGGCAAGCGUUGUUCGGAAUUACUGGGCGUAAAGGGUGCGUAGGCGGCUUUCUAAGUUGGAUGUGAAAACUAUGGGCUCAACCCAUAGCCUGCAUCCAAAACUGGAGAGCUUGGGUUCUGGAGGGGAAAGCGGAAUUCCUGGUGUAGCGGUGAAAUGCGUAGAUAUCGUCAAGAACACCUAUAGCGAAGGCAGCUUACUAGGCUGUAACUGACGCUGAGGCACGAAAGUGUGGGGAUCAAACAGG
rnacentral:rRNA from 1 species